rnacentral:rRNA from 1 species
CAUAUCAAUAAGCGGAGGAAAAGAAACUAACAAGGAUUCCCCUAGUAACGGCGAGUGAAGAGGGAAGAGCCCAAGAUUGAAAGCUGGCGUCUUCGGCGUCCGCAUUGUAAUCUCAAGAAGUGUUUUCCGCUUCGGACCAUGCCUAAGUCCCUUGGAAAAGGGCAUCAUAGAGGGUGAUAAUCCCGUACAUGGCAUGGAGCGCCCGAGGCUUUGUGAUACGCUUUCUAAGAGUCGAGUUGUUUGGGAAUGCAGCUCAAAAUGGGUGGUAAAUGCCAUCUAAGGCUAAAUAUUGGGGAGAGACCGAUAGCGAACAAGUACAGUGAUGGAAAGAUGAAAAGAACUUUGAAAAGAGAGUUAAACAGUACGUGAAAUUGCCAAAAGGGAAGGGUAGGAGGUCAGAGAUGCGUCUUGGGAUUCAGCCUUGCUUUUGCUUGGUGUUUUUCCCAAGUUGCAGGCCAACGUCGGUUUUGGGCACUGGAGAAGGGUGGAAGGAAUGUGGCACCUCUCGGGGUGUGUUAUAGCCUUCUACUGGAUACAGCGACCGAGACCGAGGACAGCAGCGUACUCGCAAGAGCGGGCCUUCGGGCACCUUUACGCUUAGGGCGUUGGCAUAAUGGCCCUCUACCACCCGUCUUGAACCACGGAC